AGGCCUUUGCGGGUUGCUAAACGGACAACGUUUGUAAAGAUAUGGAAAGAGUAUUGCCCUUAUGUGAUGACAACGCGUCCAAAAAGUGACCUGGGCGCUGUCAAAAAAAAACAACUCCUCAGUGUACCACAGUGCAAACAACAGAUGCAGAAAAACAGGAAAGGUUGAAUCAACAACUUGAACAUCUCUAACAAGUUCAGAGGGUAAGAGAAUUUUAUCGCUGUAAUGUUGCAGAAGUAAAAGAAACUCUGCGUGGGGAAAGUCUAGGGGCCAAUGCUGCCUGUUGGAGGGAAGGCUCUUCGCAUUAAAGCCCGGACCGAUAUAUUUCAUCACUGCAUGAAAAUGUGGGAUAUUUGGAGUUGCAGCUGAGGGAAUGUCAAGACAAGUCAAUUAUUUGAUUGAUUGAUGAAACCCACAACGUGUCAAAAGAAUCAAACGCUGUAAUUUCAUACAUGCAAGAUUUUUUCAUCAACUACGGCUUAGGUAAAAAAUUCUGCAAUCUUAAUUGCGACAAUUGUUCUCGCCAGAACAAGAAAAAAUAUAUGCUAUGGUAUUUAUGUUGGCGCUGUCUACGUGGCCUGCAUGAUGAUGUAUUCUUACUGGGCCUAUUUUGUUAUCGCAGGCCACACCAUAUUAUCACCUGAGUUGGAUUACUCAUAGUAGCAGUUUGGAUGACUUGGUGGAUGUGGUGCACACCAGCUCCAUAUCGGGGGUCAACAUCCCAAGACUCGUAGGAGAUGAAGAUAGAAAUGUGUUCAUCAAACAAUAUGAUUGGCAAGAGUUUCUAGCACCAUAUUUUAGGCCAUUACCCGGCAUUAAGAAAUAUCAUCAUUUCAGAUUUAGCGGGAGCAUCCUGGAAUUAUAUUCUAUAAGGAGUAUGCAGAUACAGUGUCAAGCAUAGCUAUCAGCUUUUGAAAAACAUUAGCCAUAUGCCUCCAGCAAACCUGCCUGUGUCUGUGACUCCCCCGGACUGACCUAUGACGAGCAGUUGUAUAAAUGCAACACAGUGAAUUUUGCCUUGUGACAAGGUAUGUCAAGAUCCUGAACAGCAAAGGAGAGUUAUUGAUAAUGCUCGUCCAUCGAAAAGGGCUAGAAGGGAAUAGAUCCAGUUUUAAGCUACUAAUAACUGUUAAACCAGUGAUUAUUAUAAUGCUUUGCAUUUAUUUUUUUUGUGUCUAUUUGAGUAAAUUGUAUGUUGGGUGUAUACCUUCUAUGCCAGUGUUUAUUUUCCAAUAAAUAGUUUUGCAAUAUGGUCAAGUGUAAUGUCAAGUAAUAAUUUACUUAACUUUUAAGUGCUAUCUAUACAAAUGUUUGCAAUGCACUGCAACUCAUUUAUAGUAUAUUUGCUGUAAAUUAUAAAGAUGUAAAUAUUGUAGUAUUGUUUUGAUACAUUUUUAUUUUCAUUAUCGAAUACAGAUAUAUAAAUAUUUUAAUUAAUUUUAUCUUUUAAUCAUUGUCAAAACCUUUAAGUAAAUAAUACAGAUUAUAUAGAUACAGAAUAAUAAGUAUUAAUUUCACUACUGAAUCAGUAAUUAUAAUGGAGAGAAUUGCAGAUUUUUUUUUCUACAAUGUUUUAAUGUAAUUGGCAAAUCGUUCUAUUCAAUUCCUAGUGCAUAAAUUGUUUUGCAAUGCAAUAUUUUGUAAUGUUCACCACUUUAUCAGUGGUUAUAAUGAGAAGAUUAUUGAACAAUUUUUCUCCACAUUAAUUUUACAGUAAUCAUUUUUUAAACCAAAUCAAACUACCUGUAUUCUAUUUGCAUGAUUGUUUUAAAAUGCAGAGUCAAAUGCAGUAUAUAACUUACACCAAGGUACUGUGUUUCAUUUUCUACUUUAUGGCUGAUUACUGUGCCAUAAAAAUCAGUAUUUGUUUUACGAGGAGCAAUUAUGUGUUUGUUUCAUGUAAUUGUAUUAAAUUUACAAGAAUAUUAGUGAAAUAAAUAUUCAUACAUCUGCCAGAUUUAUGUGGCACUCCAGCAAAAUAUUUUAUAGCACCAAUAUAUUUUUCAGUAGCACAUAUUUAUCACCCCCCGACCCCAUGUACAAGCCUUUAAAAUAUUCUGCUCCAUCCACCCCCCACCCACCGCCACAUAGACCAGCCCUCAAAAUUAGCGCCGGUAUUCGGCAGUGCCGAUGUAAACGGCGGCGUCUAGCCGCCACAACGCUGACGAAAAAAUCGCCGACGUGAAUUAGGACUAGGCCCUAUCCCAAGCUAACCCAGGCCAACGCUGGUACUAGGGCUUACCUAGGCCUAGUGGAACCAGUGGUGGUAGACUUGACAGGAUCGCCGUGAACAUAUUACACUUUAUUCUUAAUGAAAGCAAAUUAUUUAAUGUCUUUAUGUUGUAUUAUGAGUAAAAUGUGAAUAAAAUCAAACUGGAUUGUGUGUUUCA